GAUGAAGAACGUAGCGAAAUGCGAUAAGUAAUGUGAAUUGCAGAAUUCAGUGAAUCAUCGAAUCUUUGAACGCACAUUGCGCCCCUUGGUAUUCCGAGGGGCAUGCCUGUUCGAGCGUCAUUAUAACCCUCAAGCUCAGCUUGGUGUUGGGGCCUGCUGCAGUGGCAGCCCUUAAAAUCAGUGGCGGCGCCAUCUGGCUCUAAGCGUAGUAAUUCUUCUCGCUAUGGAGUCCUGGUGGAUGCUUGCCAUCAACCCCCAAUUUUUCUAUGGUUGACCUCGGAUCAGGUAGGGAUACCCGCUGAACUUAAGCAUAUCAAUAAGCGGGAGGA
rnacentral:misc_RNA from 1 species